AUACGGAGGAUCCGAGCGUUAUCCGGAUUUAUUGGGUUUAAAGGGUGCGCAGGCGGCCAUUUAAGUCAGCGGUUAAAUCGUGGGGCUCAACCCCAUUCUGCCGUUGAUACUGGGUGGCUUGAUUGCGGUCGAGGUUGGCGGAAUUCGUUGUGUAGCGGUGAAAUGCAUAGAUAUGACGAAGAGCACCGAUUGCGUAGGCAGCUGACCAGACCGCAAAUGACGCUCAUGCACGAAAGUGCGGGGAUCGAACAGGAUUAGAUACCCUGGUAGUCCGCACAGUAAACGAUGAAUACUUGUUUUCGGCGAUAUAAUGUCGGAGGCAAAGCGAAAGCGAUAAGUAUUCCACCUGGGGAGUACGCCGGCAACGGUGAAACUCAAAUGAAUUGACGGGG
rnacentral:rRNA from 1 species